UACGAAGGGUGCAAGCGUUACUCGGAAUUACUGGGCGUAAAGCGUGCGUAGGUGGUUUGUUAAGUCUGCUGUGAAAUCCCCGGGCUCAACCUGGGAAUGGCAGUGGAUACUGGCAAGCUAGAGUGCGGUAGAGGGUAGUGGAAUUCCCGGUGUAGCGGUGAAAUGCGUAGAGAUCGGGAGGAACACCAGUGGCGAAGGCGGCUACCUGGACCAGCACUGACACUCAGGCACGAAAGCGUGGGGAGC
rnacentral:rRNA from 1 species